AAACCUAAGAUGUACUAAUCCCAAACAGCAGCUGUGCUGAGAGAGCAUGGACAACAGUCAAGCCACGAAGCCCGGGGUGGGGGGAGUCAGGAUCCGCAGCUCUCAGCUCCAGUCUCAAGCUGGGAAGCUUGGGUGUGCUGUGGAGGGAGAAGCCUCUGAGGUAACGCCCUUCCCUCCUUCCCUCUCCCCUUCUCCCUUUUUCUUCUCCCCUCCCUCUCUUGCCCCCUCAUUUCCUGUCUUUUUUCUCUUCUUCCUCUUAGUCCUUUCUCCUUUCCCAUCUCCCUCCUCCUGCCCUCUCCUUCCUUCCCCAGUAAGUCCUUGGGUCCCCAACACAGGAAAGAGAUCAGGUGUGAGCCUGGGUUAGGCCUACCUUCCCCACAGCCUUCCUAGUUCUGUGACCUCAGCCAGUGUCUCAGGCAGAGGUGACCAGGUCCUAAGACUUUACAGAUCAGGGGCAGCUGGUAAGAUGUGGACAAGCUACCAGAUAACCUGAGAGGGGACCCCAGGAUGAGGAGACAUCCGGUCCCCAGCUCAGCUAUAGACUGUGUGGCUUGGACAGUUGCCAUCUGAAGAGGAGUUACAAUGACCAGCCACACCACACCUUCAGGAGAUGGGGCCCGUUCUGGUCUGCAGGUCUGAAACCCUCAUGUGCCUUCCUGCAGCCUGCAGGCUGCUCUGGCAGUUCUGGCCCAGAUUCUUUGUGCUGCCAAGGAACCGGUUGGAGUCUUGGGGCUUCUACUGGUCCAUCCACGGCCAUCCCAGACACGAAGACUCCGACUUUUUCCUCCACAUAUCCAUGGACCUGAGGGACAAUUGGGCACUGUGGCUACCAGCUGCUGCCCACGCUGGAUUACCACGUGAGGGCAAAGGAUGACCUCUGAGCCUUUCCAAGUUCUGCAAUGAUGAUUCUGGUUCCUCCCUGUCCUCCUAGGAUCCUGUUUCAGUUCCUACAUUUGUCAUUGACUCCUCAGCCUUGUUUCACCAAGCCUUUCCCAGAAGUAAAUCUUGAUGCU
rnacentral:lncRNA from 1 species